AUGGCCUCGCCGAUGGAGGUGUGUAGGUGUGCCGUCGGCUUGCACUUUUCAGUGCGUCACGUCUCCGGCUCGCAUGUAUCCAGUCAGUCAGUCAGUGAGUCAGUGAAUUGUGUCUGCAAGUUUCGAUCGGUUUGUUGUUCCAUUUCCACAUUUGCUACUAUUGUUAUUUCCACAUCCAAUCUUGGCUGGAGCUCGUACCAUGCAUGUACUCAAGACAGCAUGGCAUGGGCUAACCUAUUAAUUCAGUUCUCUCCUAAACUUGUGCGCCUGCACUUUCUGCAUAUAGGCCGGCCGUCACACUUUUUAUCUCUAGCACACUGCCCAAAGUGCUCCAUCCUCCAAGAGAAGUGGAUUUACUCUGCAUAUACAUUUGACUUCGAACAAAUCUUCUAUGUGGAGUAA
rnacentral:rRNA from 1 species